AGAGCGCUGUGUUGAUAACGCAGAGGUCCCUGGUUCGAAUCCAGGAUGGCCCA
rnacentral:tRNA from 1 species